AGUCUAAGGUAUUUUGUUAUAGAAGCCAGAAUAGACUAAGACAUCUUCCUUUGUUUUUUUGGGGGGUUCAGGAGAAGGAUGGCAGUAUCUUCCCUGGGAGGUUGGGCCAUGAAGGAAUCAAGCUUAGGUUAUAGAAGUGAAGAGAAAAAGAUGUGGAACAGUAAGGAAAGAGAAAAGAGAAAAAGUUGUGGAACAUUAAGGAAAGAGAAAAGAAAACUGUCCAGGAACUAGAGAUUUUAAUGGGCUCAAAACCCAAUUUUUUUGAAUGAUCAGAUUAAUAUUAAAUAAUUUCAAUGGGGAUAAGACCUAUGUCUGCCUCUAAGUCCUCCACAUAGUAUGUCACAGCAAAAAGGAGGAUCAUCAGGGAGAUUUGUGCAAUUGUACAGACAUCUGCAUUUCUAAGGUAAGUUUUUGCCAGGCCAAACCUUUGAGGUAUGUGCUGAGGGCUGCUGGGAUACUCACACUCGCUGGCAUGACUCCUGGAUAUAGCAUCCUUUGGGAGACCAGCUUGGACUGGGGAUCACUUUUUAGGAAACUUCAGAGGCAUGGGUUGAACUGCAUUCACAUAUGUACUUAAAAGAAACCAAAAUGAAAGGACAUGCAGACAGUUAUUAGAACCACAUGAAGGAAUAUAUGGUUAGUUAUAUGUGCUCAGCAAUUACAUUAUAGAAAACACAAAUUAGGAAUUAAUGGUUCACAAUGAUGUGAUGAUCUUUAAAAUAAAGGGAAACAUUGUGGCAAGGCAAAAUGAGCAUGACAGGGACCUGGGUCUGAAUCCUGAAUGUGUUCCCUGUUAGCUGUGUUAGUGUUGAACAAGUUCCUGAAACUUAAACUACAUGUUCCUCAUUUGUAAAAUAUAUUUUUCACAGGGUCAGUCUGAGAAUUAUGAGAAUAUGUUAUAGGUAUUGAUAACUGGUAAUAAUGAUACCUGACACCUACAUAACACUUUCUAUGUGCCAGAAACUAUUUGAAAAAAAAGUUACACAGCAUGGGCAACAUGGCAAAACUCCAUCUCUAAAAAAGGUACAAACAUCAGCCAGGCGUGAUGGUGGGCACCUAUAGUCCCAGCUGAGAUGCGAGUCUGGGGA
rnacentral:lncRNA from 10 species